rnacentral:lncRNA from 1 species
CACGGAGGCGAAAGGGGCAGAUGGAAACCAGGCCUCCGCUGGCCGGGCGCGCGUAAGCGCCGCACUCUGCAGCUCGACGCAAAGCCAGGGCUGGAUUUUCGAGGCCCGGGCCCGGCGGCCUCCCCGCGCCGGCGCGAUCCUCUCUCCCUCGGGCUGAGCAAACGUGCUCGCCUAAUUCCGCCCUGGAGACAGCAGCUGUGCGGCGAGAGCAGGGGAGGGCGGGGUGGGGGGGGGCAGCAACUUUUCCAACAGAAAGUGUAUGCGCACAGGAGAGGUGAAGGCCCACCCCGAUUCUGUGCACGUACCGACACAGCAUCUAAUCAGUGUCACUGCCAGGAAUACGCUUCCGCGGCGGGCGACACCCCCGCCCCCGCCAACCUGCAGGAAGGAGGGGGGAAUGCAAAUGGCGUCUCACGUCGUCCCAGACUCUGCACGGCUCCCGCUGCCCCGAGACCCAGAGCAGACGUCGCAGCGGGCCAAGCGCCGCCACUCUGGGGACGCGAACACACUGGCGGCCGGCGCCCCUUUCCUGUGUUCCGGUCUCGGGAAAAGGAACUAGCACUGCUCCCCGUUCCGAGGCCAUUCCCCCUGCCCCCACGUCCGGAAAAGCCGCCCUUCUGUAGGGCACAGUGGUUGGCACACAGUAGGCAUCAAAUUCUGGUGGAAUGAAUGGGGGCCUGAACGAGUGACUGACAGAACCGGUGAUGGCAAGUGAUUUUGGAGAAAGCAGCCUCAACUCUUGAUCCUUCUAAGAUGAUGGUCCUACCUCAAUAAAACCUCUGUUUUUGGAGUGUUUGCAGGUAACAGGAAACUCUUAUUCAAAAAUAUACUAACCUUCCUCCUCUCCCUCCCAGCCAAUCAGCUUGGCAGCAUUUGAACUUGCUGGGGCACAUACCCAAAGCGGCUUUUACUGGGUGUUAGCCCUUUCUUUCCCAACGCUAUUCUUUCUCUGGAGGCUUCUGCUUAGGGUCAGGGAGGCUGGAACUGAGUUUGAGAUGAUUCGAAACAUAUAGCAAGAAGGAAGGAGUGUAUGUCCCCGCAGACAUGGCCCAUUGGCUUCUCUUCCACAGGCAGGCCGUGGGGAGGGGGUGGGGAAGCAUGGUUUACAGCUCAGUGGUUCUUUUUUUAAAUUCACGGACCACAUCAGGACCACCACCAUCCUGCAGCCAGCUUCUGUCACAGCCCUCACCAGCUGUGAGGCCACAUCUGUCCAAAUAUGAGGCUAUCUACCUUAGCCAAUAGCUCUGAGAUGCUGAUCAGUAGGACCAUAUCUGCCAUUUGGAGAGCUGCCACUGACUCUCUGUGCUGUCCCCCUCCUUCCGGUGGCCCCUGAGAGAGGAUGUGAUUAAAAAAAAAAAAAUUCCUCUAUUUAGAGAAUCCGAUAGAAUGUAC